GAUGAAGAACGUAGUGAAAUGCGAUAAGUAAUGUGAAUUGCAGAAUUCAGUGAAUCAUCGAAUCUUUGAACGCACAUUGCGCCCGCCAGCAUUCUGGCGGGCAUGCCUGUUCGAGCGUCAUUUCAACCCUCGAGCCCGACUCUUUUGAGGACGGCUCGGCGUUGGGGGACGGCAGACUCCCCCCGGCAUCUCGCCGGGGACGCCGCCCCCGAAAUCUAGUGGCGGCCCUCCGAGGCGACCUCUGCGUAGUAACUUGUUCUCGCACCGGAAAGCUCAGAGCGGCCACGCCGUAAAACCCCAACUUUUUUCAGGUUGACCUCGAAUCAGGUAGGACUACCCGCUGAACUUAAGCAUAUCAAUAAGCGGAGGA
rnacentral:misc_RNA from 1 species